GAUGAACGCUGGCGGCGUGCCUAAUACAUGCCAGUCGAGCGAGCAGACGAGGAGCUUGCUCCUCUGACGUUAGCGGCGGACGGGUGAGUAACACGUGGAUAACCUACCUAUAAGACUGGGAUAACUUCGGGAAACCGGAGCUAAUACCGGAUAAUAUAUUGAACCGCAUGGUUCAGUAGUGAAAGACGGUUUUGCUGUCACUUAUAGAUGGAUCCGCGCCGCAUUAGCUAGUUGGUAAGGUAACGGCUUACCAAGGCAACGAUGCGUAGCCGACCUGAGAGGGUGAUCGGCCACACUGGAACUGAGACACGGUCCAGACUCCUACGGGAGGCAGCAGUAGGGAAUCUUCCGCAAUGGGCGAAAGCCUGACGGAGCAACGCCGCGUGAGUGAUGAAGGUCUUCGGAUCGUAAAACUCUGUUAUUAGGGAAGAACAAAUGUGUAAGUAACUAUGCACGUCUUGACGGUACCUAAUCAGAAAGCCACGGCUAACUACGUG
rnacentral:rRNA from 1 species